rnacentral:tRNA from 1 species
GCUAAAGGGGGCUACUUCGGGUAGAGCAGCCGCCCUCUAAGCGGUGUGUUGCAGGUUCGAGUCCUGCCUUACGCU